GAUGAAUGCUGGCGGCGUGCCUAACACAUGCAAGUCGAGCGGUAACAGGGGUAGUUUACUACCUGCUGACGAGCGGCGGACGGCUGAGUAACGCGUGGGAACGUGCCCCAAAGUGAGGAAUAACUGCCCGAAAGGGUGGCUAAUGCCGCAUAUGAUCUUCGGAUUAAAGGAUUUAUCCGCUUUGGGAGCGGCCCGCGUUAGAUUAGGUAGUUGGUAGGGUAAUGGCCUACCAAGCCGACGAUCUAUAGCUGGUCUGAGAGGAUGAUCAGCCAGACUGGGACUGAGACACGGCUCAGACUCCUACGGGAGGCAGCAGUGAGGAAUCUUCCACAAUGGGCGAAAGCCUGAUGCAGCAACGCCGCGUGGGGGAAGAAGGCCUUCGGGUUGUAAACCCCUUUCAGUUGGGACGAAGCUUCGCCGGUGAAUAGCCGGCUGGAGUGACGGUACCUUCACAAGAAGCCCCGGCUAA
rnacentral:rRNA from 1 species